AUUGAACGCUGGCGGCAUGCCUUACACAUGCAAGUCGAACGGUAACGGGCCUUCGGGUGCCGACGAGUGGCGAACGGGUGAGUAAUACAUCGGAACGUGCCCGAUCGUGGGGUAUAAUGAGGCGAAAGCUUUGCUAAUACCGCAUACGAUCUCCGGCUGAAAGCAGGGGACAGCAAGGGCUUUCGCGGCCGGGGCGGCCGAUGGCAGAUUAGGUCGUUGGUGGGAUAAAAGCUUACCAAGCCGACGAUCUGUAGCUGGUCUGAGAGGAUGAUCAGCCACACUGGGACUGAGACACGGCCCAGACUCCUACGGGAGGCAGCAGUGGGGAAUAUUGGACAAUGGGCGCAAGCCUGAUCCAGCCAUGCCGCGUGCAGGAUGAAGGCCUUCGGGUUGUAAACUGCUUUUGUACGGAACGAAAAGCCUUCUUUUAAUACAGGAGGGUCAUGACGGUACCGUAAGAAUAAGCACCGGCUAACUACGUG
rnacentral:rRNA from 1 species